rnacentral:snoRNA from 1 species
CAGGAUAGAUGAUGCAACUGUUAAACUGCGUUAUCUUUCCUGAAUCUUUUAAGGUGCUGAAGAAAACGUUACCAGCUGAGAUCCAUG